rfam:Triticum aestivum genome assembly, contig: Triticum_aestivum_CS42_TGACv1_scaffold_274599_3DS
AUAAUACUCCCUCCGUCCGGAAAUACUCGUCAGAGAAAUGGAUAAAAAUGUGUCACAUUCAUUUUUAUUCAUUUCUCCGACGAGUAUUUCCGGACGGAGGGGGUAUCUU